rnacentral:rRNA from 1 species
CCUACGGGUGGCAGCAGUGGGGAAUAUUGGACAAUGGGGGCAACCCUGAUCCAGCCAUGCCGCGUGUGUGAAGAAGGCCCUCGGGUUGUAAAGCACUUUCAGUGAGGAAGAACGCCUGGUGGUUAAUACCCAUCAGGAAAGACAUCACUCACAGAAGAAGCACCGGCUAACUCCGUGCCAGCAGCCGCGGUAAUACGGAGGGUGCGAGCGUUAAUCGGAAUUACUGGGCGUAAAGCGCGCGUAGGUGGCUUGAUAAGCCGGUUGUGAAAGCCCCGGGCUCAACCUGGGAACGGCAUCCGGAACUGUCAAGCUAGAGUGCAGGAGAGGAAGGUAGAAUUCCCGGUGUAGCGGUGAAAUGCGUAGAGAUCAGGAGGAAUACCAGUGGCGAAGGCGGCCUUCUGGACUGAAACUGACACUGAGGUGCGAAAGCGUGGGUAGCAAACAGGGUUAGAUACCCGAGUAGUC